GCAGGGUUAGUACAUCGGUAGUAUGCGAGCUUCCCAAGCUUGAGAGGCGGGUUCGAUUCCCGUACUCUGCU
rnacentral:tRNA from 1 species